UACGUAGGGGGCAAGCGUUAUCCGGAAUUAUUGGGCGUAAAGGGUGCGUAGGCUGCCUUAUGGGUCAGAGGUUAAAGGCUACGGCUUAACCGUAGCAUGCCUUUGAAACUAUAGGGCUUGAGUGCAGGAGAGGAGAGUGGAAUUCCUAGUGUAGCGGUGAAAUGCGUAGAUAUUAGGAGGAAUACCAGUGGCGAAGGCGACUCUCUGGACUGCAACUGACGCUAAGGCACGAAAGCGUGGGUAGCGAACA
rnacentral:rRNA from 1 species